AACGUAGGUGGCAAGCGUUAUCCGGAUUUACUGGGCGUAAAGCGUGCGCAGGCGGUUCGACAAGUCCGAUGUGAAAGCCCCGGGCUCAACCUGGGAAUGGCAUUGGAAACUGGCGAGCUUGAGUGUGGCAGAGGGGGGUGGAAUUCCGCGUGUAGCAGUGAAAUGCGUAGAGAUGCGGAGGAACACCGAUGGCGAAGGCAGCCCCCUGGGCUGACACUGACGCUCAGGCACGAAAGCGUGGGGAGCAAACAGG
rnacentral:rRNA from 1 species